rnacentral:rRNA from 1 species
UACGGAGGGGGCUAGCGUUGUUCGGAAUUACUGGGCGUAAAGCGCACGUAGGCGGCUUUGUAAGUUAGAGGUGAAAGCCCGGGGCUCAACUCCGGAAUUGCCUUUAAGACUGCAUCGCUAGAAUUGUGGAGAGGUAAGUGGAAUUCCGAGUGUAGAGGUGAAAUUCGUAGAUAUUCGGAAGAACACCAGUGGCGAAGGCGACUUACUGGACACAUAUUGACGCUGAGGCUCGAAAGCAUGGGGAGCAAACA